GCAACACACCUUUGGAGGGGAGGCAAUCCCGCGCUGUGUUAGCUAACUUUUCAUGUCAUCAGGUGUAGUUCGUAAAGGUUGCAGUGUGUAUCUUAGGACGGUAACGUUAUAAUAAUUAAGGAUGACGUGUGAAUUCAUGCCAGGAAUAAUAAGGGUGAAGUUUGAUUUCCUCCCUUCUGUAAUAAGCAGCCAAUGAGUUCUCACGGAAGGUGAUAAUUCUGACUAAAACUACAGAAUAAAGCCGCCAGUUAAAAUCAAGGAACGGUGGUGCUCGUGGUUACUGGAGGGAGCUACAAGAGUUGUUGACCAUUUUCAUCAACAUUGGUCAUAUUGGCUUUGAUAUGAUGGUAUGGAGAUUUUCAUUUAACAUUGAACUUCAACCAAUCCCUACUAUUAAUACCAAUACUAUACUAAUAGUUUGUUACUUUGCUUGCAGACAGAAUAAAAUGGCAAAAAAUCUUCA